rnacentral:lncRNA from 1 species
GAAAAAAAAGAAGCAAAUGAUACCAAGACAAGCUACUAAGAGAGAUCUAAUCAGCAGAUGUGUACGGAUGAAAAUACAGUGAGAUGAGUCAGAAAACGGCCAAGGAGGGUCCCAGACUCUCCAAAAACCAGAGGUACUCCGAGCACUUCAGCAUCCACUGCUGCCCGCCGUUCACCUUCCUCAACUCCAAGAAGGAGAUAGUGGAUCGGAAAUACAGCAUCUGUAAGAGUGGCUGCUUCUACCAGAAGAAGGAGGAGGACUGGAUCUGCUGCGCCUGCCAGAAGACCAGAUUGAAAAGAAGGCUUAGGCCAACCCCAAAGAAGAAGUGACCAAGGAGGAGUUUAAAGUGAAUGGAUGGUCUCGGCUCCUGGACUCACUGCUUCACAACCCAUCUACCCUUGGACGAGUUAUCUGGCUUCAAAUAUUAUGCAAGGGCAAACACCUGCUGAUGCAGCAACUGCUGAUGCUCGUUGUCCCCAUGGCAUGAGGGCCUCAGGGCAGCCUGCCUGGAGAUGGUAUGUUGUGAUGUAUUCUCAGUGCCUGUGCCCACCUUGGAACUCUGUUCUUGCUGUUCAUGCCACAUGUGAUACUGUGGGCCAAGAUCUUUGCACGGGUACCUCAAAUAUCAUCUCAGAGGUGCUUCCCUUGAAAACUCGGUGCUAUUUCUAUAGUUGCUUUGUUUGAUCACUCUAAGUUUUGUUGUCUUCAUAGCACUUAUCACUCUCUGGAACUAUUCUGUUCAUUGAUUCACUUGCUUAAUGCUUGGCUUUUUCCUGUCCUAAUGUAAACUCCGUGACUGCCAACACCUGUUUACUUGCUACAGUACCCCCGUGGCCCCCCACCUCCCCAUUCCUGGCACUAGUAAGAACUCAAUAAACACUUGUUGAUGGAAUGAAUGUUUGUUUGUUGUUUUUUAUAGGAAUGUUUUUUCAAAAGUUCAGAUAUUUUCAAGAAGUCAAAGGUGUCUAUUGUAUUUAGCAACAGGGAACUGUUGGUGACCAUGUAGGACACUCUCCGUAUGACAUAAAUGGGAGGUGAGGAACAGGAAUUUGCAAUUAUAGAUGCAACUUGCUCCACUAGGCUUGACUUGGAAGGAAGGCAGAGGGGUAGGGCAAGGGCUGGAGUGUUGCACUUACUGAGAAGGCACGUGAGCACAUGGAAGUGCUGCUGGGAGGGUGGUGGCGGAGUGGGUGUGUGAAGGAGGGGUGGAUCUCUGAUGGAGCCAGCAGUGGAGGAGGUGAGGGGGCCAAAUCGGGGCCAGUGAGGAUCAGGCAUGGAGCAGGGGUGCCUUUUCACUGGAAAAGAGGGAAGGAGAAAAGGAGAGUGUGGAUUCUCGUGGAUUUGCAGACUUAGUAGCAGGACAUUGAGGCAGUUUCUGCCUGUGGUUUUGAUUUCUCCUGUAAAGUAGGAGAUGAGGUGGCCUGAUGGGGUGCUGGUGUUGGGGUCAGAGGCAUGAGGAUGAGAGAGAGGGUUAUAAAGACAUCAUUUCAAAUCAUGUAUUUGAAAUUGUCUAUAGAAUUCUUUCUCCAGAUGAAUUUGUAUUUUUAUUUAUUUAUUACAUAUUCAAGAUAACAUUUGCCACUACGUUUUUGCCCAUAACCUCAUAUUUAGAUUUAAAUUCUAGAUCUAAACUUGAGGCUCCUAUGGUUUCAGGUGGAAGAAAUAAGAGUUGGAGAAAGAAAUGCAGAGUCUAAUCUUCCCAGUGAAUAAAGGUUCAUGAGGAAACUUUGAUGAGGGGAAGCUAUAAAAAUUCCACCAGAUUGCAGGGAGAUGGAGCUGUGCUCUGAGACAGGAAUUUGCUCCCUGUCCAUCUAGGCUGCUGUUCUUACACCAAAGAGUGAGUUAUAAAAGGUUAAGCAGUCCAAUAUUUCUCUCCCUGUGUAGGAAACCAUUUCCUGAUGUGAGGUGGGUUUGAACCCAAUUAUAAUGGACUUAAACUCAGGGCUGGAAACUCAGGGCUGGAAGGGCCCUGGCGGGGGAAGGGGGCUUCCUGCCUGACUCCACUGCACAGGUCUCUGUCCCGUUAAUACCACCAUUGCCAGGUACUUACUAUCUCUGCUUGAGUAAAAUGAAGUGUCCUUAGUGGACAAAGAUGAUACUGUUGACACAAGAGUAGGGUGUGCAGUUGUUGCUUGGAGAGAAUUUGCAUCCUCUUAUUGCAGUACAGGUACACACUUGCAGGAAUGCUUGGGUAAGGAGAGUGAUAAAAUAACUUCUUAUCGAGCAUCAACUAUGCAUUCACCUUAUAUCACAGGGUACUUUGUGUUUGUAAACGCGAAACAGGAGAAGUUGUCAUGACCCCCAUGGCCACUGAAACCAUGGCCUUUACCGUACCACCACCAUGUGGCAAUCCAGAAGUUUCUAAACAGAGAAUGGUUUAGAGUACCCAGGGGUACUUGGAGAUGCCACUGUAUGAGAUAAGAGGAAGGUGGAGCCAGCAGGACUCCAGGCCACACCUUCACAUCAACAAAAGUAGUGUUUAGUGUCUGUGUUGACUUCUAACUUUAUGUAGAUAAAGGAUUCCACUGGAGCCAAAGAGUCUGACUACACUUUCACAAAUGCAACAAAUAUUGAUAGAAUCCUUAUGUCAAGUGACUUUCUAAAUGGUUUACUGCAUUAAAGAGUGUACUAUUUGACAAUGCAGGUUUGAGUUUAGUUGGCUGGUAUUUCAGUGACUAUUCAUUUCCUCUGAGGCAACAGUUUACCUAUCACCAAGUUCAGUGCUUCGACCUUGAUCAACUGACUGGGUUUCUCCAAAGUACAGAUGAGCAAAAGAACACAGAUUAGAAAACAGUCCUGAUAAUUAGUCCUGCAUUUUUAGUUUUAAACAGAUUUAUGUAAAAGCAUUAUAUUUUACAAGGCACUAAAAUCCGUUUCUGUUGCCCAAGCUUCAUUGACAUAUAAACGACAUUGGUAAACACAAAAUAGAUUUGAGGAGAGUGGAGAAAAUAGGAAUCUACAGCUUAAGUCAUGGUCUUACUUCAUAGCAAAUCUGUUAUCUAUCAGAUUUCUAUCGUUUGGCGCAAAAAGAUCUCUUAAUAAAACUAAGUUCUAAGAAAGUAUUAGAUAGUCUGAUUACCAACAUUCGUAUUGGAUUUUGAAGCAUAUGAACUCUCUUACGAGUCAAUUCAUAAUCUGAGGCUGGAGAUCUGUGGGACCCAGUAGUGGUAUCUGGAGAGGCUGGUGGGUCCCUCUCUAGAACCCAAAAGGUGUAAGGAUUUUGUAGAGGGAAAGGUAAAUAAUGCCAAGUAGCUGGGGUCUAGGAAGAAAGUUUUCUCUUGGGCAAGAGGGUGUAAGUUCCUAAAGUUCCUUCAGCGGGAUGUUGGUCCUUUAGUUAGGAGGUUUAAAAUCACCAGGAAGAAAGGGUGAGGAGAAACGUCUGGGCCCAUGUUUGAGAGGGUGGCUGAUGGUUGUGGAAGUCCUUUCUUCGAUGAGUUAAUGAUGCAUAUUUCUGAUAAAGACGGGAAGUUAUUUAUGUCAGCAUUAACUAAAUCUACCCUUCAUGCAGAAAGGAAGAGCUCCUGGGCCAUUCUCUAUUAAUGAAACCAUACCAUUGUCGAUAUUAGAGUGUCUGUGAAAUACACUGAAAAUACUUCCCUGUCUCAGGUAGUGGCCAAUGCUACCUCCAGGCAGUUUUCCUUGAUUAAUGAUGCAAUGGAGAUAUCCUAUUGCAUCCACCAUCAAGGAGAGUUGGGCAGUCUGUCAUUCAGAGGAAGUGGGACUCAAUAGACAUUCUGACUAUGUAUUAAUCCAGUCAUGUUUACAUGCAGGUCAGAGGGCAAAGCUUUUCUUUACACCUCAUAUAUCCUUCUCUUCCUAGGUGGAAGUCCAUUCACAACUACUUCACUGCUAGCAGACCUUUUUCCUAACAAGAACAGGUGGAUGGCAGAGUGGGGAUUAGAACACCUCAGCACUCACAGGGGCGUCCUAUGGGAGCCAGGAUGGCUUCUAGGACAUCUUACUGAUGGAAGUUAUUUAGUGGAUCUUGGAUUUGAUUUGAUUUUUCUAAUCUCUUAAGCACAUUGAUCUUUGGGUUUGUUGCCUGUAAUUUUUGUCUUAGGAAGGCAGCAUCCUUCUUUCCUGGAAGAAAUCUUGAUGCAUAAAAAGAAAAGACCUGGUAUCCUGCCCUGUUUUUGUUCUCAUGGAGAGUCAACAGAUUUUCACAUAAUCUGCUUUUACUAUAACUCACCCUCCAUUUCCUGAAUUCUUUGUGAACAUCCCUUUUUCCUGUGAGCUGACAGCUUCUGUUCUUUUUCUUGGAGCUUAGGAGCUUUUUGAGUCAGAUCCUUUAGCAAAGCCCUCGUUUUCUGCCGAUGGAGAUCAUUAAGGAUCUUUACCGCCAGCUUCAAGAGUUUGCAUUUAUUUUCAACUAGAGCAUCGACUGGCUGCAGUAAAACAAAUUUUUCCAAGUUUAAAAUUCUUUUCUUCCAGCUGAUGCCUCGCUGGCAAUUAUUUGGCUUAGACUACAAAUGGCAUCGUUUUUUUUUUUUCCAGUUCUUGUUAAUAUGGAUUUUGGCAUUGUCUGAUGAGCCUACCUUUUCAUCUUCUUACCAUGGUAAUCUGCCAGUUAACCCUUUGUUUUCAAAUCAUCUAGUUCAUUUCCUUUCCUAGGAGUUUUCUCCUCUGACUCAAAGAUCAAGAUCACUUGGUUUCAGCUAUCUAGUGUAUCUAUUCAUCACUACAAUGCAUUAUUUUCCUAAACCACAGCUUCUUUCUGAGACUUGAGAUCUUACCGGAUCUGCUCACUACCUCAGUAGGUAGAGGGUGGGACAGGAGCAGUUAAGGGCAGAAAGAGGCCACAGCCUUCUAUUUACUGCAGCCUCCACGUACCCCUCCAAACAAUCUGUACUGCCACCUCCUUCUCUUCUAACUCCUAUUUUCCAUCUCUUUCUUCACCUCAAUGCACACACAUCUCGGAUCACAAUAACUUUCUUUUUUUUUUUUACAACUUAAAUUUGCAGACCUUGGUUUAUAGAUUCAUAGCAGAGCUACUUAACAACCUUUCUAUAUUUUUAUUGCUCUGGACUUAUACCCGCUUCAUGCUUUCUCUCUCCAGAUCUUGUCCCUGGCUGUUAACUCUGAUUCUUCCCAAACCAGCCCUACGCUGACUUAACACAGCUUCCUACCAUCAGACCGCCAGCAAUGAUGCCUG